AGUUGCUGAUGUAGCUGCAGCUAUUAAAGCUGGAUUUUAUGACAUUGGUAUUGGUGCGGGAUUGGAAUCUAUGACCACAAACCCAAUGGCUUGGGAAGGAUCAGUCAACCCAAAAGUUAAGUCAAUGGUACAAGCUCAGGACUGUCUUCUUCCUAUGGGUAUUACUUCUGAAAAUGUUGCACAUCGCUUUGGUGUGACAAGGCAGGAACAAGAUCAGGCUGCGGUUGAUUCACAUCGUAAGGCUGCUGCGGCCACUGCUUCUGGAAAAUUCAAGGAUGAAAUAAUUCCUGUAGCCACGAAGAUUGUUGACCCAAAAACGGGAGAUGAGAAACCGGUAACCAUCUCUGUCGAUGAUGGAAUACGACCAAAUGCCAGUGUGUCAGACUUGGCAAAAUUGAAGCCAGUUUUCAAGAAGAGUGGAACUACUACUGCUGGGAAUUCCAGCCAA
rnacentral:misc_RNA from 1 species